rnacentral:rRNA from 1 species
AGCUGUGAUGGGGAGAAGACAUUGUGUCUUCGAGUCGUUGAUUUCACACUGCCGAGAAAAGCCUCUAGAUAGAAAAUAGGUGCCCGUACCGCAAACCGACACAGGUAGUCAAGAUGAGAAUUCUAAGGUGAGCGAGCGAACUCUCGUUAAGGAACUCGGCAAAAUGACCCCGUAACUUCGGGAGAAGGGGUGCUCUUUAGGGUUAACGCCCAGAAGAGCCGCAGUGAAUAGGCCCAAGCGACUGUUUAUCAAAAACACAGGUCUCUGCUAAACCGUAAGGUGAUGUAUAGGGGCUGACGCCUGCCCGGUGCUGGAAGGUUAAGAGGAGUGGUUAGCUUCUGCGAAGCUACGAAUCGAAGCCCCAGUAAACGGCGGCCGUAACUAUAACGGUCCUAAGGUAGCGAAAUUCCUUGUCGGGUAAGUUCCGACCCGCACGAAAGGCGUAACGAUUUGGGCACUGUCUCAACGAGAGACUCGGUGAAAUCAUAGUACCUGUGAAGAUGCAGGUUACCCGCGACAGGACGGAAAGACCCCGUGGAGCUUUACUGUAGCCUGAUAUUGAAAUUCGGCACAGCUUGUACAGGAUAGGUAGGAGCCUUUGAAACGUGAGCGCUAGCUUACGUGGAGGCGCUGGUGGGAUACUACCCUAGCUGUGUUGGCUUUCUAACCCGCACCACUUAUCGUGGUGGGAGACAGUGUCAGGCGGGCAGUUUGACUGGGGCGGUCGCCUCCUAAAAGGUAACGGAGGCGCUCAAAGGUUCCCUCAGAAUGGUUGGAAAUCAUUCAUAGAGUGUAAAGGCAUAAGGGAGCUUGACUGCGAGACCUACAAGUCGAGCAGGGUCGAAAGACGGACUUAGUGAUCCGGUGGUUCCGCAUGGAAGGGCCAUCGCUCAACGGAUAAAAGCUACCCCGGGGAUAACAGGCUUAUCUCCCCCAAGAGUUCACAUCGACGGGGAGGUUUGGCACCUCGAUGUCGGCUCAUCGCAUCCUGGGGCUGUAGUCGGUCCCAAGGGUUGGGCUGUUCGCCCAUUAAAGCGGUACGCGAGCUGGGUUCAGAACGUCGUGAGACAGUUCGGUCCCUAUCCGUCGUGGGCGUAGGAAAUUUGAGAGGAGCUGUCCUUAGUACGAGAGGACCGGGAUGGACAUACCUCUGGUGUACCAGUUGUCGUGCCAACGGCAUAGCUGGGUAGCUAUGUGUGGACGGGAUAAGUGCUGAAAGCAUCUAAGCAUGAAGCCCCCCUCAAGAUGAGAUUUCCCAACUUCGGUUAUAAGAUCCCUCAAAGAUGAUGAGGUUAAUAGGUUCGAGGUGGAAGCAUGGUGACAUGUGGAGCUGACGAAUACUAAUCGAUCGAAGACUUAAUC